rnacentral:rRNA from 1 species
CCUACGGGCGGCAGCAGUGAGGAAUAUUGGUCAAUGGACGAGAGUCUGAACCAGCCAAGUAGCGUGAAGGAUGACUGCCCUAUGGGUUGUAAACUUCUUUUAUAUGGGAAUAAAACGUUCCACGUGUGGGGUUUUGUAUGUACCCUAUGAAUAAGGAUCGGCUAACUCCGUGCCAGCAGCCGCGGUAAUACGGAGGAUCCGAGCGUUAUCCGGAUUUAUUGGGGUUAAAGGGAGCGUAGGUGGAUUGUUAAGUCAGUUGUGAAAGUUUGCGGCUCAACCGUAUAAGUGCAGUUGAAACUGGCAUUCUUGAGUACAGUAGAGGUGGGCGGAAUGCGUGGUGUAGCGGUGAAAUGCUUAGAUAUCACGAAGAACUCCGAUUGCGAAGGCAGUUCACUGGACUGCAACUGACACUGAGGCACGAAAGUGUGGGUAUCAAACAGGAUUAGAUACCCGGGUAGUC